rnacentral:rRNA from 1 species
AGUGAACGCUGGCGAUAGGCCUAACACAUGCAAGUCGAACGGCAGCACAGUAAGAGCUUGCUCUUACGGGUGGCGAGUGGCGGACGGGUGAGGAAUACAUCGGAAUCUACUUUUUCGUGGGGGAUAACGUAGGGAAACUUACGCUAAUACCGCAUACGACCUACGGGUGAAAGCAGGGGAUCUUCGGACCUUGCGCGAUUGAAUGAGCCGAUGUCGGAUUAGCUAGUUGGCGGGGUAAAGGCCCACCAAGGCGACGAUCCGUAGCUGGUCUGAGAGGAUGAUCAGUCACACUGGAACUGAGACACGGUCCAGACUCCUACGGGAGGCAGCAGUGGGGAAUAUUGGACAAUGGGCGCAAGCCUGAUCCAGCCAUACCGCGUGGGUGAAGAAGGCCUUCGGGUUGUAAAGCCCUUUUGUUGGGAAAGAAAAGCAGCAGGUUAAUACCCCGCUGUUCUGACGGUACCCAAAGAAUAAGCACCGGCUAACUUCGUG